UCAUUGGGCUGCCUGGAUCCUCAUCCUCCAGCACGCUGAGAGAUGUCAGCCAGUUAGGCGUGGAUAAGCCUGUGGAAGAUGCUCUGUCAUUCCUUCUGAGGUGCUUGCUUUAGUGCUGGCGCUGCCUGCGCUGCAUCUCAUCUGCCAUCUGACUGCCUCAGUGCCUUCAGCUUCUCCAUCCCAGAGAAAAGACCACCUGUAAGCAUCGUUUUCACAAGGUCACAAGUCUGUGGUUUCUCGUCCAUCUGCAAUCUCCACCUCUCCGGAGCCUGUCUCACUUGCUUUAUUUCCUGCAAGUCCCUCACAUGACGCCUGGCACAUGACUCAUAGCAAAACCCUAUCAGCGAGUGGCAAGUGACAAUGAAGCUGCAUCUUACGAAGUAGACUGGACAUAAGCAACACACUUUGGGUGUCACUGUCUCCCGUCACCCCAGAUGGGACCAUCUAGUUGCAGGAAAGCAAGCUCCAGACCCCCACUGAUUCUGCAUUAUGAGACAUGGCACAACAUGUAGAGUUGGAAUCAAUUGAGGACCCUCCUGACCAGAAAACACACUCUGGCCCCAACAGAAGUAAAGAA